UAGCUCAGUGGAAGAGCUCCCGCUUGGUAUGCGGGAAGAUCUGGGUUCGGUUCCCGG
rnacentral:tRNA from 1 species